rnacentral:rRNA from 1 species
UGGGGAAUAUUGCACAAUGGGGGGAACCCUGAUGCAGCGACGCCGCGUGAGCGAAGAAGGUUUUCGAAUCGUAAAGCUCUGUCCUAUGAGAAGAUAAUGACGGUAUCAUAGGAGGAAGCCCCGGCUAAAUACGUGCCAGCAGCCGCGGUAAUACGUAUGGGGCGAGCGUUGUCCGGAAUUAUUGGGCGUAAAGGGUACGUAGGCGGCCUUUUAAGUCAGGUGUGAAAGCGUGAGGCUUAACCUCAUUAAGCACUUGAAACUGGAAGGCUUGAGUGAAGGAGAGGAAAGUGGAAUUCCUAGUGUAGCGGUGAAAUGCGUAGAUAUUAGGAGGAAUACCGGUGGCGAAGGCGACUUUCUGGACUUUUACUGACGCUCAGGUACGAAAGCGUGGGGAGCAAACAGGACUAGAUACCCUGGUAGUCCACGCCGUAAACGAUGAAUGCUAGGUGUUGGGAGUCAAAUCUCGGUGCCGAAGUUAACACAUUAAGCAUUCCGCCUGGGGAGUACGGUGGCAACACUG